rnacentral:rRNA from 1 species
GAUGAACGCUGGCGGCGUGCUUAACACAUGCAAGUCGAACGAAGUGGAGAUCUUCGGAUUGAAACUUAGUGGCGGACGGGUGAGUAACGCGUGGGUAACCUGCCUCGUACAGGGGGAUAACAGUUAGAAAUGACUGCUAAUACCGCAUAACCCGCUAGGAUCGCAUGAUCCGGACGGAAAAGAUUUAUCGGUACGAGAUGGACCCGCGUCUGAUUAGCUAGUUGGUGAGGUAACGGCCACCAAGGCGACGAUCAGUAGCCGACCUGAGAGGGUGAUCGGCCACAUUGGGACUGAGACACGGCCCAAACUCCUACGGGAGGCAGCAGUGGGGAAUAUUGCACAAUGGGGGAAACCCUGAUGCAGCAACGCCGCGUGAAGGAAGACGGGUCUUCGGAUUGUAAAGCUCUGUCUUUAGGGACGAUAAUGACGGUACCUAAGGAGGAAGCCACGGCUAACUACGUG